UUUACUUUUAAGGCCAACACAAAUUUUGUGACCUUUCCCAAAUCUUCUCCUAUCAGUUCCCUCCAUUCAUUAGAGGGCACAAAAAUGUUACUUUGGUUGAACGUGGUGCUCUUACUCGCAUCCCUUGAUGGUGUCAAUUCUCAAGUCCAGUUGGUGGAGUCUGGAGGGGACUUGAAAAAACCUGGAGAGUCCAUUCGUAUCUCCUGUCAUGGCUCUGGCUUCAUCAUGAGGAACUACUGGAUGAAUUGGGUGAGACAGUAUCCGGGGAAAGGACUGGAAUGGCUUGCAAGAAUGGGUACAACUGCAAUUUACUACUCAGACAAAGUCAAGGGACGCUUCACCAUCUCCAGGGACGAUUCCCUCAGUCAGCUGUAUCUGCAAAUGAACAAUCUGAAAGCAGAGGACACAGCUGUCUAUUACUGUGCGAGAGGCACAGUGGGAGGAAGUGAAUCUGAAGCCCAUCAAGAACUUUCAUGA